rnacentral:tRNA from 2 species
GGGUGAGUAGUCCAAUUGGUAGAGACAAAGGACUUAAAAUCCUUCCAGUGAGGGUUCGAGUCCCUCCUCACCUACCA